UAGAAUGUGGUGUAAGUGGAAACACGGAGAAUUUUGAGUUCUUAGAUAUCGGUUCAAGUCCUAUUAUUCUAG
rnacentral:tRNA from 1 species